CUGGCCCUUAGCUGAGGUGCCUCUGUUUUCCAUGUGGCUCUCAACCUCCGAAGCUUCUCAUUACCUGCGGCCUCUCUCUACAGCUGGAUAGCCUGGACUUCUUUACAAGGCAGUUGGGUUCUGAGAAAUCAGAAGCUCCGGAUCUCUCAGGGCUUCCCAGGUGGCGCUAGUGGAGACAUGGAGAACAACUGAUCAACAUCUCCUCAUAAUAAUCCCCUGAACACCUGAAGACAGCUGUGAGCGCUUAAAGAUUUGCUGAGGCUAAUCUGAACACAGUCCUCAGCUUCCUAGAGAGCCCUGUCACAUUUGCAACCCUCUCCUAUUUUGGAGUGAGGCAGGACAUUGCGGUUUUCACAAGUAUUGAAGCCAGAUUGCCUGGAUUAGAAUCCUGGCUCUGCCACUUACCAACUGCAUGACCUGCUGCAAGUUACCUGGCGGGGUGGUACUUCCCUGCCUUCCUGGAGUUGGUUGUGGCCGUGUAAAACUGGGGCAGAAGCUUCGAGAGUCUACACACAAUGAACCACACUCCUGGCCUACUACUGGGACGGUGACACCCACCCCCCGCCUCCCUCCUGUGAGGUAUAUAUUGAGGUGAAGUCUCCAUUAUUCCAGGAUUCUAUGUGACUGUGAGAAGAAUUGCUCCCCGGCCAACCUGCGUGUGACAUAUGGCCCAGGUUAUGUAAGGACUGGUUGAUGAUUUGCUUCUGGAACUGCACUGCAAGACACCUGCCUAGUGUCUCAGAGUGAAAUCUUGUGUUUAAGAUGAUGAAACUGAGACAUAGAUUUUAAGUGACUGGCCCAAGGUCACAAAACUGAUAAAUGGGAAAGCUGG
ensembl:lncRNA